rnacentral:lncRNA from 1 species
AAACUUCAUAUGCAUGGAAUGGCACAGGUGGCCUUUGCAUCUGGCUUCUUUCACGUAGUCUAAUGUUUUCAAGGCUGGUCCAUGUUGUAGCAUCUAUCAGAACUUCAUUCCUCCUUACAGCUGAUAACACUCUAUUACAUGGAUAUGGAUAUGCCACACUUGUUUAUCUUUUCCUCAGUUCAUGGACAUUUGGAUUGUCUCCACUUUUUGACUAUUACACGCUCUGAAUUACCAGCGAUUUCACUCACUCAGAAUACACAGAGACGAGGCUCCUCAUUCAGAAUCUCCCUGAACCUCAUGAUGGACUCAGCUGGACAUGGGACAACUCAAUCAUUUCCUGGAACUUGCAUUUCACUUGGAGAGGCCUGCUCUAGUGGAGGGUGCUCUUUGUGGUCUUCCAUGUACAGCUAAUUAAGAUUCUGACUGGGUUUAGGAUCAAAGAAAGCUGUCCCAUUGCAUUCCCACAUUCUUCCUUCUUGUUUCAAUGUCUUCCAAGAUCUAUUUUAAACAGGAAGUGUUGUGUACUUUUCAGGGGCCCUUUGACCUGUUCCCAGUAAAUCAAAACAGGAAGGUAGGUCUCCGCCCUUCACCUAACAGCCAGUCAGUGUGAGACCAAGGUCUGCAGAGCUGUGUCUAUGUCCAGUGCCCAACCAGGGACGUGGUAUUUCCAAAGGCUUCCCUGAGGUCGGUCUAUGGUAGUUGUUUGCUAAUCUGAAUCCAUAUUGGUGAUUAAUUUUGGAAUUCGACUCUUUGAGUGUAUAAGGGAUAGGGUACAAAGGGAAAGCAUCUCAGAGAACUUCUACAAAUAUUAGGAGUUGGUGCAAGAAGUUCACAGUGAGCUGGGAAGGAGUGGGAAGAAAUAAUAGGGCCUUGGAUCCUUUCCAAUUCCCACCCCAGUGCGCUUGGCAGCUCACAUGAUACCUUGACUUUUCCAAAUAUUGGGGAGAAAAAGCAGCCAAGGUUUUAUGUAAGAAUGAAAAGGGCCUGAAGCACUUCAAUUUCCGGGUGGCUAAACAAAAGAAGACACACACCAGGGAAAGCCCCUUAAAGUGUGUGCAGAAGAGUUGGACAAAAGAGAAGAGGCAUUUAAUCAGACAGAGAAAAAAAUAGAAAUGAUGUCAUUAUUUGGGUAUAGUAAGGUUGCCACGUAGGGGUGUUUGUAUAAAUUCCUUGGGCUUCUCCUAGUAAUGAGAUAAUGCUGUAAGGUCCCCAGUUCCUCAAAAAUUUAGCUAAAACUUGGAGCGAUACUAAUUACAAAACACAAUCGCCAUGCAGGUAAAGCUAUACAUAUCAUAAAUAAAGUCUAGUGCUUACAGGAGGAUGAGACCCUUGUUAGCAUGGGAGGGGCCUGACUUCAUAAUUUGUACACCUGAAAUGCAGGGACUGAUCUCUCUACAGGUACACAUUUGCCUCAGGGUACACUGGCCUAAUGCAGCGCUGCCCUACAAAGGCAAAUCCUCCAUCAAUAAAUAAUGAAAAACGACCCAUCAAAAAAAUGAGUCAGAGUGGGGGAGGCACAGAAAAAGUGACAAAUUGAUUCCAGACUCUUCUUUUUUAGGACAUCAUGGAAAUAGUUACUGGAUUUAUAUUGGAAAAUUCCUACCAGGGUGUGACGCCUUCAAUUGCCCUUCGUUUCCCAUGAUCUCCCCAGGAGCAGGCAGAGGGACAUCCUGGGAACCGACCAUGAGGCAGCUUGGAUCUUACUGCUGCCACUGGGCGCCGCUCCCAGGAAUGUGGGCACAGAGAGCCAAAACCUCAGAUGCACUGCAAGGUGCCCACAACCUCAUUCGUGUGCUUGGACACCUGAAAAUCCUUUACCUGGUACCUUUAAUUGAUAUAUUUCAUAUAAUCACCACUUUUAGUAAUAUCUGAGGAAUUCUACUAAAGAAAGAGGGAUGCCUGAACACUGGAGACACACAAAUGUCCGUAUUUUAUAUAAGAAAGGGCAAGGCAAUGAAUUUAGAGUUCUAGACUGCUACAUUUAAUAUGGAUACCUUGAAAAGUGAUGUUGGAAUAAUUUAUUGACAGAUUUGUUGUAUUUUAAAAGUAAUGAAGGAUGCAUCCAACCAAACAAGUUCAUUGAAUUUUUGAUGGGGCCGUGAGACCUGUAGAUCAGAAGAACACAGGCAGUGUGAUUUCCUCAAAGUGUUUGACUUGACAAAGGAGGGAGGAAUUAAAGUGUAAGGAAACAUUGAUAGUUGAUUAAACAACAGUGACCUAAAAGGUGCUGAGGAGUCCACUGCUGUUAACCUGGAGGAAAGUCCCCUGAGCCCCGGCUGGUGGGGACAGUUCAUCUACCACGCAACAGAAUCCAUAUUCAAGAUGAUUUCAAGGCCCAGAGGAAGAGACAAAAGCAAAUACAAACAAUUCAUUAAAAACAAAAGUUUUUUAAAAUGUGAAA